ensembl:lncRNA
GGCGGCGCGCUUGACUGUGCAGCUCCCGGACUGCGUUUUGCUGACGAGAGAAUCGAACCGUGGAGUCCGAAUCUGUGAGUAUACCGCUGACUUCGCCGGGCUGCGCUACCUGUCGCUGCCGGUGUGGAUGAGUGGACUAAGCCGGACGUCAGAAUAACAAGUGGCGUUGUUGGAUCUCAGCGUGUUCAGGAAUUGCUAUCCGAACAUGAAUGGGUUCACCUUGAUGCUGCUGUUUGCUGCUCAGUGCUUUCCAGUAACAGCAAGCGGAAACAAAUCGGCACAGCUCUUUUUCUGCAGUAUUCCAGGAUGUGGCUCUAAUGUGACCCACGUGUUUUGCAACGACGAGUCGCUCCUCAGUGAUGGUCCCAUCCCGAACUGUACCGGGCCUCCACCCCCCAAUACUGUCUGCCAGCACAAGGGCUUCGCAUUCGCCUCCACCGAUUCAGAUGCUGGCUGUGAUUUUGAAGGGAAAGACGGUCUUAUUGAGUCGGGAAAAUGUACAGACAACAGCAGCAUCUGUGCUUCUCUUCACCGUGGAUUUCAUCGUCCAUCGCUGACCACUGCCUUUCCUCUAGUCAACGCUACAUCACAAGUCCCCACAAGGGGGCGUUAUGGAUUAAUUGUUGAAGGUGUAAUUUUAGGUCUGCUGAUCGUAGGAAUAGGAAUAGCAAGAAGAGUCUCUUAUAGACGCUCACAGCAGGAUUCAGCAAGUAACGCUGCUGUGACUGAACCGCUGAGACAGAUGGAAGGUCCCGAAGGAAUCAGUGAUAGGUUAGUACCUAUUAAAAUGAAGCAAAUAAAAACAACAAUAUGUAAAGAUUUAAAGAUACUCUUUCUACAUCCUUUAGUGAUACUGCUGGAUUGGAAGAUGGCGGUUCUACUUCCCACCAGGAGAGUGGAGUUUAAACAACUGCAGCUUCAUCAUCUUUGUUGUAUUUUUCUCAUUUUUUUCUCAAGAUAUCUCAUGGGGUUGUUUUUUUUUUAAAUGUAGCACAAACAUCCAUGAACUGAUUAGGUUUUUGUGGUUAAAGGUCAACGUGAAAUCAGCCCCAUUAUUACAAACACAAUAUCUCAGGAACACCUUAAGAGAGUUUCUGGACUGCAGGAUGAAGUCAUACGGUUUUUGCAAUCAAAAGGUCACUGUGAAAAAUGUUUAUUUAAUCUUUAUCCUUAUUUAAGGCCACGAGUCGCAUCAAUAAACUUAUACAGAUAAUUUUGCAAACACGUCCAGUAGAAUAACAUGAUGAAGUAAUGCCAUUUUGGACAGACCCUGGUGAAGAAUGUUUAUGCGGUAGUUUUUCCUAUUUUUGAAAUCAACAUGACAUCUGUUUUAGAAGUGUUCCUUUUAGUGCAAGCCUCCCCCACUUCCUGUAUAUUAUCAUUACUAUUAUAUUAUGUACAAUAAACUCAGAUGCAAAUUAAAAGUUGUUGUUUUUUUAAACUUCUGAUACAUUUUGGAGAGAUAAAGAGAUUUACAAAACACAUAAGACUCCCGUUCAGGCCUGCAGGGGGCAGGUGGAAGUCGCAUGCUCGUAUCCAGUGGUGCACCGAGAGGUUGUGCGUGG